rnacentral:lncRNA from 10 species
AAUCAUCAGGUGGUGAAGCCAGCCUGACUUGUGUCCUUCCCUUCAUGGUGGUAAUUAUCCAGUUGAUAUUUAUCUUGUUCCAGUCACCUUUAGAAAGCUGUUUGCUCUCAAAUCUCCAGGCAGCCUCUAUUGAUUGAUCUGAGUUGGCAGAUGAGUUGGCAGGUUUUGGAAAUCACUAGUGGGUAAAAAAGACCAAUUUGCAACUAGGCUCUCAUGCUCUGUUGAAAACUAUGUCACAAUAUCACAAUACUAGAUGCUGGGCUCAAGACAGCAAACAGAAAGCAGCAAGGGCAGUGACUGGAAGCUGGGAGAGAGGGUCAACAGCUGAAUCUCAGCCUGAUGGAGGCCAC